rnacentral:rRNA from 1 species
UACGUAGGGGGCGAGCGUUGUUCGGAGUUACUGGGCGUAAAGGGUGUGUAGGCGGUUGUUUAAGUUUGGUGUGAAAUCUCCCGGCUCAACUGGGAGGGUGCGCCGAAUACUGAAUGACUCGAGUGCGGGAGAGGAGAGUGGAAUUCCUGGUGUAGCGGUGAAAUGCGUAGAUAUCAGGAGGAACACCGGCGGUGUAGACGGCUCUCUGGACCGUAACUGACGCUGAGACACGAAAGCGUGGGUAGCAAACAGG